AUGCUGGCCGCGGCGAGCGCGAGCCUCGGGGCGAACGGCAGGCUGCACGCGGUGGCCCAGUGCGCCCCGUGGAACGUGACGGCGGCGGGCUGCGCCGCGUGCCUGAACAGGUCGGUGCGAGACGUGCCGGACGAGGACAGGCUGAUCGGCGGCGUCGGGCGAGGCGUGGGCUCCGUGCACCGCUACAACUGCAACCUGCGGUUCGAGAUAUCCCCGCCGGUGCCGCCGCCCAUGGGGAAAGGAGCGAGUAUCCAGAAGAGGAUUCGAGAUAACCUUGUCGUCGUCAUAGUGGGCGCCGUCGCGGUGGUCGUCGUCGUCGCGAUCAUCAUCGGAGGAGCUUUUCUCCUUGUGAAGCGAAACAGGAUGAGGAAGAGGCUCAACACAUUCCUAGCGACUCCUAGGUAG
rnacentral:rRNA from 1 species